rnacentral:tRNA from 1 species
GUAGGCAUAAUUUAAUUUAAAAUGUUAGGUUGUGAUCCUAAAACUGAGGGUUGAAGUCCCCCUGCCCACC